rnacentral:lncRNA from 1 species
UUAUCUCUUGUGAUCCCUGAGAAAUUCCAGCAUAUUUUGCGAGUACUCAACACCAACAUCCAUGUUGGCAGAAAAUAGCCUUUGCCAUCACUGCCAUUGAGGGUGUGGGUCGAAGAUAUGCUCAUGUGGUAUUGAGAAAGCAGACACUAACCUCACCAAGAGCACAGGACUCUCUGAGGAUGAGGUGGAACAUAUGAUUGCCACUAAGCAGAAUCCAUGCAUUCAAGAUCCCCAACUGGUUCUUGAACAGGCAGAAGGAUGGAAAGGCUGGAAACUAUAGCCAGGUCCUGGCGAAUGAUCUGGAUAACAAGCUCCGUGAAGACCUGGAGCAACUGAAGAAGAUUCCAGCCUGUAGAGGGCUGCACCACUUCUGGGGUCUUCGUGUCUGAAGCCAGCACAUUAAGACCACUGGCCACUGUGGCCAUACUAUGGCUGUGUCCAAGAAGCACUAA